UCUGAUCGUUCACCACCCACCCUGUUCUUAGGAAGACGACAGGGCAAGCGGAUUCAGUACUUACUGGGGAUCUGCAGUUAGCUUCUUUGGAAUUAGAUGUGAAAACCUUACAGAACAGUAGAGAGGAGGAUAGAAAGGAAUUUCAUGAAUUUCGUGCCAUGGUUAACAAGAAUUUUGUUACGAUGCAAAACAACUUUGACAAGAUCCAAGAUAACUUUAGAAACCUUCUAUUAGAUCAUGGUUCUGAAGAGGGUCAAGGGGAUCAUUCAGAGCAUGACAGUGUGCAAAAGAAGGUGGAUGAAGUACAAUCACCUGGGGUUCCUACUGGUAGACCCAAACAGCUACAUAAUUUUACUCCACCCCUCAGUGCAUGGUGUGGAAAUGGAGGCAGUAGUGGUAGUUGGUUCUGUUGUGCUAAGAGAUAAUGCAGGAAAGGAAUUGAAUUUAGAUGGUACUGUCAAAACUCCUUACAGGCACCCUAAUUUUGCUAGCAACAAAAUUGAUAAUCAUCAUACAAAUGGACAGCAGCAGCAAUUGCCUAUGCAGCAGGCAGAAAUGGGUACAAUAGAAGAGUGGCCUGAUGGACAGAGGCACAGACAGUUUGCUCCUAAUGACAGUAGAAGACCUAUCCUUACAGUCAAACCUGCAGAACUUAACAUUUCAGAAUAAGGUGCAGAUCCUGAAGCAUGGAUACAAAAUCUUGAUCAAUACUUUGCUGCUGCUAGGACACCUAUUGAGCAUAGGACUAAACUGGCAGUGUCAUAUUUAAAGGGCCCUAUAGUGCAAUGGUGGAGAGGGACUGGAUUUGCUCCUAGUAAUGUACCUUGGCAUAAGUUCUGUUCUUAUUUAUCACAGAGGUUUGCUGUGGAUUCAUCUUGUGACAUAGUGAGCUCCUUUCAUGAUGUGCAUCAGACUGGAUCUUUAUCUGGUUAUGUGGAGUAGUUUGAGCUACUAAUGAAUGUAAUGAGAAAGGAAAAUCCUGGAAUUCCUGAAAGCUAUUAUGUUACUAGCUUUGUGGCUGGCCUAAGUCCUUACAUCAAGAAUCAUGUGGAGUGUCUUAAGCCCAAAGACAUGCAAACUGCUAAUUGGUAUGCUAGAAGAAUGGGAAAGGCCCAACCUCAAUUACAAGUGGUGCAAACUAAAGCAUAUAUUCCUCAACCAAGGAGGCAAGUCCUGUUUGAGCAAACCAAGAAUGAAGGAGGUGUUGCUAGUCAGAACAGAAAUAUAAUAAUUCAGCAAGCCAAGCAGAAUGAGGUUCGUUACAAAUGUAGAGAGCCUUGGGUACCUGGUCAUAGACGGGUUUGUACAAGUGCAAGCAUUACAAGCACAAGAAGAAGAAGGGCCUAAAACUAUAUUUGUCAGUGAUUUUGCUGACCCUGAAUUGGAAAAUGCAAAACAAGUGCGAGUGGAGACAAUUUUACAGGUUUCUAUGCAUGCAGCUAUGGGCAUUGGAGCUAUGAAUAAUACUUUUAUUCUGACAGUUAAAGUGGGAGAUUACUUGGCAACAACAAUGGUGAAUAGUGGUAGCACUUCAACUUUUGUUUCUCCUGAGAUGGCAUCUAAGAUGUUAGUGAAACCAAGGGCUACUCCUAGAGUCAAGGUGGCUGUAGCUAGUGGUGAAAUGCUAUGGAGUGAGUUUAUGGUGCAAGAUUGUGCUUAUGAGAUUCUGGACAUAAAUUCAGGGAUAGUUUCAGUGUGCUACAAUUAAAAGGCUAUGAUAUAAUUUUGGGGGUUGAUUGGUUGUAGAAGUACAGUCCUGUGCACAUGGAUUUUGUGAACAUGGAAAUGAGAAUAUCUUCUGGCAAUGGUUAGGGUAUCACCUUCUCUGAUGAAACAGUGCCAAGAGCACAACCUGAAGAAGCAGAUCAUUUAAAUCAGAAAGAAAUGGAACAGGCUGUUUGUGGUUUUGUAUUGUUCACAACAUCUGCUAUGGAGGUUUGCAGUCCAGAGUAGGAUCUACUUGGGGAAUUACAGUCAUUGCUAGAUAGAUAUGAGCAAUUGUUUCAGGAACCCACAGAAUUACCUCCUACUAGACCAUGUGAUCAUAGGAUUCCUCUGAUAGAAGGAGCUAAGGUGGUAAAUCAAAGACCUUACAGAGUGCCACACCACCAAAAAAAGAUUUUAGAGGGAAUUAUCAAGGAAUUGCUCAAAUUAGGAGUGAUAAGACCUAGCACAAGUCCUUUUCCCCCUGUUUUGCUGGUUAGAAAGAAGGAUGGAUCAUGGAGGUUGUGCACAGAUUACAGAAAAUUCAAUGCAAUCACAGUAAAGAACAAGUAUACAAUUCCAGUGAUUGAGGACCUAUUGGACCAGUUAAAAGGAGCUAAAUUCUUUUCCAAGAUUGAUCUCAGAAAUGGCUACCAUCAAAUCAGAAUGGCUGAAGAGGAUAUACAUAAGACUGCAUUUGUAACACACAUGGGCUUAUUUGAAUACCUGGUGAUGUCCUUUGGUUUAACAAAUGGGUCACCUAGUUUUCAGGCACUAAUGAACUUUCUAUUUGGAAUGCUCAAAUUUGUGGUUACAUUCUUUGAUGAUAUCUUGCUGUUCAGCAAAUCUUUGGAGGAACAUAAGGAUCACUUAACACAAGUGUUCGAUAUCUUGCAGAAGAACAAGCUAUAUGCUAGAUGGGAAAAAUGUUCUUUUGGCCAGACUGAGGUUGAAUAUCUGGGCCAUGUCAUCAGUCAGGAAGGAGUAGCUACUGACCCAUCAAAGAUUAAAGCAAUCAAAGAUUGGCCAACCCCCAAAAACAUUACUAAACUUAGAAGCUUCUUGGGUUUAAGUGGUUACUACAGGAGGUUCAUUAAGGACUAUGGGGUUAUUUGUAGACCAUUGUUUGACUGUCUGAAGAAAGAUGCAUUCCAUUGGAGAGAUGCACAAGACCAAGCAAUGGAUGUAGUUAAAGACAAGUUAACUAACUCCCCUGUAUUGAUCCUCUCUGAUUUUUCCAAACCUUUUGUGCUGGAAGCUCAUGCAUGUGGGUAUGGCUUAGGAGCUGUGUUGAUGCAGGAGCGAAGGCCUAUUUCUUAUUUAAGCAAGUCAGUUGGACCUGGAGCUGCUGCUAUGUCAACUUAUGACAAGGAAGCCAUGGCAAUCAUUGAAGCUAUUAAGAAAUGGAAACAUUACUUCCUAGACACUGCUCUCAUUAUCAGGACUGAUUAGGAAAGUCUGAAGUACAUCCAAGAGAUGAAGUUAACUGAAGGUAUCCAACAUAAGUUGUUGCUUAAGUUGUUGGGUUACAACUUCACUAUUGAGUACAAGAAUGGAAAAGAAAAUAAGGUGGCUCAUGCAUUAUCUAGAGUGAAGUACUGGACUUCCAUGUUGGUUGCUAGUAAUGUUACUCCUACUUGGGUCUUGGAAGUGGUUAAGAGCUACAGUCAAGAUGAAAAGAUAAAAGAAUGGAUCACUCAGUGUGCAGUGGAUAGUGGCACUAAUGGGUCAUACUCUUAUAAGAAUGGUAUACUAAGAUUCAAGGGUAAGGUGAAAGUUAGACAAGCUACUGAACUCAGGCAAGAGCUAGUGAAAACAUUCCAUAAUUCUGAGUUGGGGGCCACUCUGGUGAGAGAGCUACUUAUCAAAGAAUUAAAUUGGUGUUUCACUGUCCUGGGUUGAAGCAAGAUGUUAUUGCCUUUGUCAAAUCUUGCCCAGUGUGUCAGAUCAACAAGGCAGAGCAUUGUCCAUAUCCUGGGUUGCUGGAACCAUUACAUGUCCCUGAUUUUGCUUGGGCUCAAGUGAGUAUGGAUUUUGUGGAAGGGGUACCAGUUUCUGAGAACAAGGACUUGAUACUUGUGGUGGUAGACAGGUUUACAAAAUACUCACAUUUUAUUGGCAUCAAGCAUCCCAUUACUGUGGAAUCUGUAGCUAGAGCAUUCUCUGAGACAGUACUCAAACUGCAUGGUAUGCCAGUAGUUAUUGUGACUGACAGAGAUAGAAUCUUCACCAGCAAUUUAUGACAGCAGUUUUUCAAGUAUCUGAAGAUCAAGCUUCACAUGAGUACUAGCUACCACCCUCAAUCUGAUGGACACACUGAGAGAGUUAACCAGUGUUUGGAGAAUUAUUUGAGGUGUAUGUGUUUCCAGCAGCCAAGGAAGUGGCAUAGCUGGCUGGCCUUGGCUGACUGGUGGUAUAACACUAGCUUUCACACUGCUUUGAACAUGACUCCAUUUCAGGAAUUGUAUGGGUUUCCUCCACCUAUGGUAGCUGAAUUUGUUUUACCUGAUUCUAUCUCUGUGGACGCUGCUGAUUACUACAAGACAGAGAGCUAACAAUGGAGGUGAUAAAACAGAAUUUGAUUAAAGCACGGGAGAGAAUGAAAUGGUUUGCAGACAAGAAGAGGAAAGAGAGGGAAAUUGAUGUGGGAGAUAUGGUGCAUCAAAAAUUGCAACCAUACACGCAUACUUCUCUAAGUCUGCACAUGCAUUUGAAGCUGCAUUCUAAGUUCUAUGGGCCAUUUAGAGUUCUGCAGAAGGUGGGACAGCAUGCUUACAAGCUGCUUCUUCCCGAAGGGUGCAAGCUGCACCAUACAUUUCAUGUCAGUCAGCUAAAAAGGCACAUUGGACCUAAGGUGGUGCCCUCCAAAGAUCUUCCUCUAGUGGGGUCUGAUGGUAUAGUCCUUAUGGAGCCUGAAGCUAUUCUGGACAGGAAGCUAGUGCCAAGAUUUCAGGGAGAUAUAAGUGUGCCUGUGGUGCUUUGGUUGAUCAAAUGGGUCAAUAUUCCAGUGGAACAGGCUACGUGGGAAGAUUCUGCCUUCAUACAAAAAGUCUUUCCACUGUUUGCAGCUUGAGGGCAAGCUGCCGCUCAACAAGGGGGUAUUGUCAGGCUCGAGAGAUGACCUCCCCUGUUUCCAAGUGCCGGUUUUGCUUUGGUGAGUUGAUAGAGCAUCCAACGACUGUGAUUCAAAUAUAGCGCUUCGAGCGGGAGGAGGCGUGGCGCGUCGAUCCAGCAUCCGACGGUCACCGACUGUGUCCGCGUCGCUGUGCACUUUCCGAUAGCACUUCAUUUAUUUCAGCUGUUUAAGCUUGUUUUCCUUUCCUUCGGCUGGCCUUUAUUAGCCACCCUCUCCAGCCCUAAGAGGCAUGUAAAAAUGAUGUAUGGGUAGAACCCUAGGCCGCCGGUGGCGCGCUACUCUUGUUUUUCCCCUUUUCCAAGCAAUAGAUCAUCCCCCCGAUCAUAAAUUCUUGCCUGAAUUCCACCUCAAAGUGGUUGGUUUAGCUAGUCAGGUGCUCUGUUCCUGACAAGCAUCGGGAACCCGGAGAUAACAAAAUAACCCAAGAGAGGGUGCGUGCGGAAGGCGGGGAGGGCUUCAUCGACGUUUUCAAAGUCAGCUUCCGAGAGUACUCUAUCCUUCUCUUGUGGAGGAGUCAAGUUCAAAUCUGCUAUAUCCAUGGCGACUUCAUAACAAAAAUUUAACAUUCAGUUAACUUAAGGAAUUCCAAAGGGACAUGAGUAGAUUACUGUAAAAGAACAUGAGUAUAUUACUAUAAAAGGACAUGAGCAUUACUUUGCAUUGGAUUGCUGGCAUUUGCAUUUGAACUAUCUAUCUAUCAUUGCUGGUAUUUGCAUUGCUUUGCAUUUUCAUUCAUCUAUCUAUCCAUUAUAGCUGGUACUUAUUGGUGAUUCCUUGGUUACAGCAAAGACAAACAUAUUGGUGAUUCCUUGGAGGAGGAUGAGGAGGAUGAAAGCCUUGGCGUCAGGAGAUGAUGUCUUUCCUCGUGGGAAGGUAGGAACGGACGACACAUUUCGAGUAGGAAGAAAGGCCAUACGCAUAUGGGCAUGCACGCAUGGCCCACUUCUACUCAUCCCCGCACGCCGUGGCUAGACCUGCUAGCCUCAUUGUUCCUUUUCCUUCACAUUCCUCUCACUCUCAGCCGGUGUAUUGUGUGUAUUCCUCUACCUACGUACCAACCACCUCCAACAGCAACAACAACAGUACUACUUAGCUGGAGUUAUAUUUUGUUCAAAGAAUCAGGAUUCCUUGGUUGGGAAAAAUACAUUAUAUCGGGGAGGCAGGGGCACAAGGUGGCGGAUGAAAGUGUCCAAACACGUCAAAAGGUGGUCACGCGGCCGGGACAAGACUGCCAUGGUUUCUGCCAGGGCAAGACUACCGUGAUUGUUGGAGCAUGAUCACUUACUGAAAAUAUUGGUGAUGUUAAAAAGUUCUUCCCAAUGAUAUUUCUAUCUACACUUGAUAUCUGACCUAUGUUGAUGACUUUAUAAGUCUUUUUCAUGUUGAAUUAGUAUAUCAAAUGAGCACAUAGUUGACAAGCAUUAUUAAGAUCUUAUGAUUUGUGCUUCA